rnacentral:rRNA from 1 species
AUACGUAGGUGACAAGCGUUAUCCGGAUUUACUGGGCGUAAAGGGCGUGUAGGCGGUCUUGCAAGUCAGAAGUGAAAUUCCUGAGCUCAACUCGGGCGCUGCUUCUGAAACUGCAGGACUUGAGUGCUGGAGGGGAUAGCGGAAUUCCUAGUGGAGCGGUAAAAUGCGCAGAUAUUAGGAAGAACACCGGUGGCGAAGGCGGCUAUCUGGACAGUAACUGACGCUGAGGCGCGAAAGCGUGGGGAGCAAACAGGAUUAGAUACCCUGGCAGUCCACGCCGUAAACGAUGAAUACUAGGUGUAGGGGGUAUCGACUCCCUCUGUGCCGCAGUUAACACAAUAAGUAUUCCGCCUGGGGAGUACGGCCGCAAGGUUGAAACUCAAAUGAAUUGACGGGG